ensembl:lncRNA
UCCUCAAUGAGGCUUGUCUUUCAGGCUGGUCUCCUGGGUUCUCAGUAAAUCUGCAGGUCACGUUUGCUCCCUUUUCCAACACUCAGGUUCUCUCUUGAAGUGGCAUCCCAAACAGAAUUAAAAAUACAAUAAUCUGUAACAACAAACAAUACCAGAAUCCCUCCAAAACUGUAACAUGUGUUCAGCCCUGUAAUGGCAGUGUUGGUUUAAUGGCUCUCCAUGGCCCACAGGUGAAGCAUCCCCUCUGCCAGGACUGCUGUGGGAGGGAAGGAGCUGGAGCUUGGCCAGGGAGCAUUAUCUCCCAGCUCUUCCCCAGUCCCACAGCCUGUAGCACUGCAUGCUCCCCUCCUUUGAGGGUUUUCAAGUGGCUGCCAUGCCAUGCAAUUGUUCUUCAGAGCUUCGCCACAUCACUUGCAAAUUGAACAUCUCAGCAUGUUUAUGUUUUUGAACCUAAAGCCCAAGUCACAGCAAACCCCAGAAGCACCGGGUGCCAGAGGCAGAUUCAGUGACACAGCAGUGGCCUUGCUGCUGCCACAUGGCAUGAGCCUUGGGUGUGGAUAUCUGACCUUGGGAUGGCCCAUUUGGCUCAAUCACAGCCUGGGAACAGACACAUUCACAGUCCUUUCUGAAGCUCCUUCCUCCACAAGGUUAGUGAUUGCUAAUGACAUUUGCAGGGAAAGAAAGUAUUUUGCUCAGCUCUUCUGCUUUUGUGUAUGGUUUUGCUCUCUGGUAUCAUGUUCCUGUGUUUGUGAUACAGGCAUCUCCACAGCAACAAGUGACAUGCAGGGCUAUGACUUCAGCCGGGGAACAUGUAGAAAGCUUUGAUGAGCUGUCAAGCAGCAAAGAUGUUGUUCCAGCACGGAUGCAAGAAGCAGACAGUGACCGUGUGCUCGGCCUCUGGCUGUCCUCUUCCCAGCAAGCCCCCGCUGGAGGUAAUUUAGGCUCAAGAGAGAAGAAAGCCCUUUCAAAGGAACUUAUUAUUUCAAUAUCUGCAGAGUAAGACCUAAGAAAGACCUCAGGCUUUGGACAACUCUUUAUGAGUAGUAUUAAUAAAAACUGAAAAAAACAGGCAGAAAGUGCUGUCAUCUGACCUACCACCAUAAAUCUCCUUAAGCAAUCUGGUGUUGACGACACUUCAGCUUGAUGCAAGGGAAACACAGUAAAGCAAACGACAGUCUGAGCAAAAAUGUGCCGACAAGUUCAUCUUUAAUCAGUAAUUAAUGAACAGUUUUACUCAUUCAUCAGAGCGUAAAGACUUCCCCAGUUGCAUAUCUGAUACUGCAUAUCUGACCCUGCUCUAAGCAUUUUUUUUAAGCCCAUGUAUUAGCAUCACAUUAAAGUGAAUUUCCUCAAGGGCCACGAAGGGGUGUUGUUUGCUAACAUGCUAUGUCCAGCAGUACAAGAGCUGUACAACAAAGGAAGAAAAAUCUUUGUCAUUUUAGCUGUGAUUUUUCAGACCAGAACAGGGCCCUUCUCUGGGGAUGCCUCCAUUCUGAUAGAGGCCUCAAGGGUAUGUUGGACUUCUGCACAGGUGACUGACACCUGUGGAAAAUUUUAUCUCUUGUGUCCCUGUGGAUGAAAUUUCUAGAAGUGUUUCACCCUCAUUGGAGGUUUUACUCCGACCAGGCUGCUGAACCUCUAAAAAGCCCAGGGAAAUGAUCAGCAUGCCUGUGCUUUGCCUGGAAAAAGGCCUGUGGAUUUGAAAAUUGGUGUCCACAUCCUUGGAAAAAUAUGUGCCAAAUUCUACAAAUUCUAGGUUAUUGCUUAGAAGGCUGUUCCAAAGUCUUAGUAAAAUCAAAUCAGCUUAUUUACAUUCUGCAACUUGUGUAUUUUGUUAUUUAUUAGCAAUUGAAAUAAAGAUUCAUGAUUUGGAUCUCUG